UACGUAGGGUGCAAGCGUUAAUCGGAAUUACUGGGCGUAAAGCGUGCGCAGGCGGCUUUGCAAGACAGAUGUGAAAUCCCCGGGCUCAACCUGGGAACUGCCUUUGUGACUGCAAGGCUUGAGUGCGGCAGAGGGGGAUGGAAUUCCGCGUGUAGCAGUGAAAUGCGUAGGUAUGCGGAGGAACACCGAUGGCGAAGGCAAUCCCCUGGGCCUGCACUGACGCUCAUGCACGAAAGCGUGGGGAGCAAACAGG
rnacentral:rRNA from 1 species